rnacentral:lncRNA from 1 species
UUCUCAUCCAACCACCACCUGGAGCUAGAGCAGCAGCAGGAACCCCGCUGUCUUCACCCACUCAGUGCUACAGCCCAGCCACAAACUACAGCCUCAGCUCAUAAGAUCUGAUCUGAACUACUGCAAAUUCAGUUACUCUAAGAAGAGGUUCAACGCAGACGAUUCUAACACUCCAAAAAAAGGCAAAGAGAAGAAAAAAGGUAGGAAAUUCAGAAAAUUAGUCUAGGGGACUAUGUGAAAGAUAAAACAAUAUACUAUAAAAAU